rnacentral:rRNA from 1 species
UUGUUCGUGAAAUCUCACGGCUUAACUGUGAGCGUGCGGGCGAUACGGGCAGACUUGAGUACUGCAGGGGAGACUGGAAUUCCUGGUGUAGCGGUGGAAUGCGCAGAUAUCAGGAGGAACACCGGUGGCGAAGGCGGGUCUCUGGGCAGUAACUGACGCUGAGGAGCGAAAGCGUGGGGAGCGAACAGGAUUAGAUACCCUGGUAGUCCACGCCGUAAACGGUGGGUACUAGGUGUGGGUUUCCUUCCUUGGGAUCCGUGCCGUAGCUAACGCAUUAAGUACCCCGCCUGGGGAGUACGGCCGCAAGGCUAAAACUCAAAGAAAUUGACGGGGGCCCGCACAAGCGGCGGAGCAUGUGGAUUAAUUCGAUGCAACGCGAAGAACCUUACCUGGGUUUGACAUGCACAGGACGCCGGCAGAGAUGUCGGUUCCCUUGUGGCCUGUGUGCAGGUGGUGCAUGGCUGUCGUCAGCUCGUGUCGUGAGAUGUUGGGUUAAGUCCCGCAACGAGCGCAACCCUUGUCUCAUGUUGCCAGCGGGUAAUGCCGGGGACUCGUGAGAGACUGCCGGGGUCAACUCGGAGGAAGGUGGGGAUGACGUCAAGUCAUCAUGCCCCUUAUGUCCAGGGCUUCACACAUGCUACAAUGGCCGGUACAAAGGGCUGCGAUGCCGCGAGGUUAAGCGAAUCCUUUUAAAGCCGGUCUCAGUUCGGAUCGGGGUCUGCAACUCGACCCCGUGAAGUCGGA